GUAGGUGGCAAGCGUUGUCCGGAAUUAUUGGGCGUAAAGCGCGCGCAGGCGGUUCUUUAAGUCUGAUGUGAAAGCCCACGGCUCAACCCGUGGAGGGUCAUUGGAAACUGGAGAACUUGAGUACAGAAGAGGAAAGCGGAAUUCCACGUGUAGCGGUGAAAUGCGUAGAGAUGUGGAGGAACACCAGUGGCGAAGGCGGCUUUCUGGUCUGUAACUGACGCUGAGGCGCGAAAGCGUGGGGAGCAAACAGGGAUUAGAUACCCUGGUAGUCCACGCCGUAAACGAUGAGUGCUAAUGUUAGGGGGGUUUUCCGCCCCCCUUAGUGCUGCAGCUAACGCAUUAAGCACUCCGCCUGGGGGUUACGCCGCAAGGCUG
rnacentral:rRNA from 1 species